AUUGAACGCUGGCGGCAGGCCUAACACAUGCAAGUCGAACGGUAACAGGAAGACGCUUGCUUCUUUGCUGACGAGUGGCGGACGGGUGAGUAAUGUCUGGGAAACUGCCUGAUGGAGGGGGAUAACUACUGGAAACGGUAGCUAAUACCGCAUAAUGUCGCAAGACCAAAGAGGGGGACCUUCGGGCCUCUUGCCAUCGGAUGUGCCCAGAUGGGAUUAGCUAGUAGGUGGGGUAACGGCUCACCUAGGCGCCGAUCCCUAGCUGGUCUGAGAGGAUGACAAGCCCCACUGGAAGUGAGCCACGCUCACGACUCCUAAGGGAGGCACCAGUGGGGAAUAUUGCACAAGGGGAGAGAGCCUGAUGCAGCUACGGCGCGUGUAUGAAGAAGGACUUAGGGUUGUAAAGUACUUUCCGCGGGGAGGACGGGAGUAAAGUAAACACCUUUGAUCAUUGACGUUACCCGCAGAAGAAGCACCGGCUAACUCCGUG
rnacentral:rRNA from 1 species